UGGAUCCAGACUUUGAUCCUGGCUCAGGACGAACGCUGGCGGCGUGCUUAACACAUGCAAGUCGAACGGAGAACUUAUUUCGGUAAGUUCUUAGUGGCGAACGGGUGAGUAACGCGUGGGCAACCUGCCCUCCAGUUGGGGACAACAUUCCGAAAGGGAUGCUAAUACCGAAUGUGCUCCCUCCUCCGCAUGGAGGAGGGAGGAAAGAUGGCCUCUGCUUGCAAGCUAUCGCUGGAAGAUGAGCCCGCGUCUGAUUAGCUAGUUGGUGGGGCAACGGCUCACCAAGGCGAUGAUCAGUAGCCGGUCUGAGAGGAUGAACGGCCACAUUGGGACUGAGACACGGCCCAAACUCCUACGGGAGGCAGCAGUGGGGAAUCUUCCGCAAUGGACGAAAGUCUGACGGAGCAACGCCGCGUGAGUGAUGAAGGUCUUCGGAUUGUAAAACUCUGUUGUUAGGGACGAAAGCACCGUGUUCGAACAGGUCAUGGUGUUGACGGUACCUAACGAGGAAGCCACGGCUAACUACGUGCCAGCAGCCGCGGUAAUACGUAGGUGGCAAGCGUUGUCCGGAAUUAUUGGGCGUAAAGAGCAUGUAGGCGGGCUUUUAAGUCUGACGUGAAAAUGCGGGGCUUAACCCCGUAUGGCGUUGGAUACUGGAAGUCUUGAGUGCAGGAGAGGAAAGGGGGAUUCCCAGUGUAGCGGUGAAAUGCGUAGAUAUUGGGAGGAACACCAGUGGCGAAGGCGCCUUUCUGGACUGUGUCUGACGCUGAGAUGCGAAAGCCAGGGUAGCAAACGGGAUUAGAUACCCCGGUAGUCCUGGCCGUAAACGAUGGAUACUAGGUGUAGGAGGUAUCGACCCCUUCUGUACCGGAGUUAACGCAAUAAGUAUCCCGCCUGGGGACUACGAUCGCAAGAUUGCAACUCAAAGGAAUUGACGGA
rnacentral:rRNA from 1 species